AUGGAUGUGGAGGGCGCCACCGUGCAGCCGAGGAAGAAGACUUCCUGGGGAUGGCAAAAAGGAACGCUUCUGCUGGCGUACCAGAGCUUCGGCGUCGUUUACGGCGACCUUUGCAUAUCACCCGUCUACGUGUACAAGAACACCUUCUCCGGGAAGUUGCGUCUCCACGAGGAGGAUGAAGAGAUCCUCGGCGUGCUAUCGUUGGUUUUCUGGAGCCUCACCCUCGUACCGCUCCUCAAGUACAUCAUCCUCGUCCUCGGCGCAGACGACAACGGAGAAGGUGGCACGUUCGCACUGUACUCCCUGAUGUGCAGGCGCUCCAGGAUGGGGCUUCUCAACAGCUUGCACGCCGGCCACGGCUCCGUGUCGUCCUACAACCAGGACGAGCCCUGCAAGGAGACGCGGAGCAGCCUGGCCAUCAGAGGGUUCUUCGAGAAGCACCACUCGCUGCGCGUCGUGCUGCUGCUGUUCGUCCUCAUGGGCACCAGCAUGGUCAUCGGCGACGGCGUCCUCACCCCGACCAUGUCAGUGCUGUCAGCAGUCUCCGGCCUCAGGAUCAAGUUCCCGGAGCUACAUGAAAAUUACACGGUGCUGCUCGCGUGCGUCGUGCUGGUGGGGCUCUUCGCGCUGCAGCACUACGGGACGCGCCGCGUCGGGUUCCUCUUCGCGCCGAUCCUGCUCUCCUGGCUCGCCUGCAUCGGCGGCAUCGGGAUCUACAACAUUUUCAGGUGGAACCCGACCGUCGUCCGCGCGCUGUCCCCGUACUACAUAUACAACUUCUUCAGGAAGGCCGGCAGGGACGGGUGGAGCUCGCUGGGAGGGAUCGUGCUCUGCAUCACAGGUGCUGAAGCAAUGUUUGCUGACCUCGGGCAUUUCUCGAAGCUUUCACUGAGGCUCGGGUUCACGAUAGUUGUGUAUCCUUGCUUAGUUCUGGCCUACAUGGGGGAGGCCGCCUACCUGUCGAAACAUAGGGAGGAUCUCCAGAGCAGCUUUUACAAAGCUCUUCCAGACCGUGUGUUCUGGCCUGUUCUGUUCAUCGCGACACUGGCCACCGCCGUCGGGAGCCAAGCGAUCAUCUCCGCCACGUUCUCCAUCAUAAGCCAGUGCAGGGCCCUGGGCUGCUUCCCGCGCAUCAAGGUGGUGCACACGUCCAGCCAUGUCCACGGCCAGAUCUACAUCCCGGAGGUGAACUGGACGCUCAUGUCCCUCUGCCUCGCCGUCACCAUCGGCUUCCGAGACACCGAGAUGAUCGGCAACGCCUACGGGCUGGCCGUGAUCUUGGUGAUGUUCGCGACGACGUGCCUGAUGUUCCUGGUGAUCACCACGGUGUGGAACCGGUCGGUGCUGUGGGCGGCGCUCUUCGCCGCCGGCUUCGGGUCCAUGGAGCUGCUCUACCUCUCCGCGUGCCUGGCCAAGGUGCCCCACGGCGGCUGGCUGCCGCUGCUGCUCUCCCUGGCCACGCUGCUGGUCAUGUCGGCGUGGCACUACGGCACGGCCAAGAAGCAGGAGUACGAGCUGCAGAACAAGGUGUGCCUGGACCACUUCAUCGGCCUCAGCUCCGGCAUGGGCCUCGUGCGCGUCCCCGGGGUCGGGUUCGUCUACUCGGACUCCGUCGCCGGCGUGCCGCCCAUGUUCGCGCACUUCGUCACCAACUUCCCGGCGUUCCACCGUGUGCUCGUCUUCGUGUCGCUGCAGACGCUGACCGUGCCCAAGGUGCCGCCGGAGGAGCGGUUCCUGGUGGGCCGGAUCGGGCGGCCGGAGCACCGGAUGUUCCGCUGCGUGGUCCGGUACGGGUACAAGGAGGGCCGGUGGGACCACUUCAACUUCGAGGACCAGCUGCUGGUGAAGGUCCUGGAGUUCCUCCAGCUGCAGCAGGCGGACGGCGACGGCGAGCGGUGCAGCACCGGGUCCGGCGAGAUGUCGGUCAUCCCGGCCGCGCCCAGCCAGGCCGUCGUGGACGCGCUGGCGUCGAUGAGCUCCGGCGAGAUCGAGUACUACGCCGGCGGCGGCGCCAAGAAGGUGCGGUUCGAGGAGCUGCCGGCGGCGUGGAGGCGGGAGGAGACGAUGUCGGAGGUGAGGGAGCUGCUGGAGGAGCGGGAGGCCGGGGUGUCGUACAUGAUCGGGCACACCUGCGUGUUAGCGCACGAGUCGUCGUCCGCGGUGAAGAAGUUCGCCGUCAACGUCGUGUACGGGUUCCUCCGGCGCAACUCGCGGAGGCCCGCCGUCGUGCUCGGCAUCCCCCACACCUCCCUCAUCGAGGUCGGCAUGGUUUACAGGGUGUGA
rnacentral:rRNA from 1 species